AGAGUUUGAUCAUGGCUCAGAUUGAACGCUGGCGGCAGGCCUAACACAUGCAAGUCGAGCGGUAGCACAAGAGAGCUUGCUCUCUGGGUGACGAGCGGCGGACGGGUGAGUAAUGUCUGGGAAACUGCCUGAUGGAGGGGGAUAACUACUGGAAACGGUAGCUAAUACCGCAUAACGUCUUCGGACCAAAGUGGGGGACCUUCGGGCCUCACGCCAUCAGAUGUGCCCAGAUGGGAUUAGCUAGUAGGUGGGGUAAUGGCUCACCUAGGCGACGAUCCCUAGCUGGUCUGAGAGGAUAACCAGCCACACUGGAACUGAGACACGGUCCAGACUCCUACGGGAGGCAGCAGUGGGGAAUAUUGCACAAUGGGCGCAAGCCUGAUGCAGCCAUGCCGCGUGUGUGAAGAAGGCCUUCGGGUUGUAAAGCACUUUCAGCGAGGAGGAAGGGUAGUGUGUUAAUAGCACAUUGCAUUGACGUUACUCGCAGAAGAAGCACCGGCUAACUCCGUGCCAGCAGCCGCGGUAAUACGGAGGGUGCAAGCGUUAAUCGGAAUUACUGGGCGUAAAGCGCACGCAGGCGGUUUGUUAAGUCAGAUGUGAAAUCCCCGCGCUUAACGUGGGAACUGCAUUUGAAACUGGCAAGCUAGAGUCUUGUAGAGGGGGGUAGAAUUCCAGGUGUAGCGGUGAAAUGCGUAGAGAUCUGGAGGAAUACCGGUGGCGAAGGCGGCCCCCUGGACAAAGACUGACGCUCAGGUGCGAAAGCGUGGGGAGCAAACAGGAUUAGAUACCCCGGUAGUCCAA
rnacentral:rRNA from 1 species